rnacentral:lncRNA from 1 species
AUUGAGUUGUGAUCCAAGUGUUUGGAGUACUUGAGAACCCACCACCGCCUUGUGUAAUGCGAGAACCUGACUUAUCAGUCUCACUAAGCCAUCUUCCUUCUGAUGGAUAUAGAGAAGUUCAUUAAAAUAGCUUUAGAUCCCUUGGGUUUCAGGUUGGAAAGAUGAAGGGGACGCUCACUCUUAAGCGUUAACAGCGACUCUGUUUUCUAGCUGGUAGAGUUAAAGCUGCGAUAUUCUCUCCCUCACCACCGUUGGAUUGUUUGAUAAAUUGAGAUGCCAUAUUAAGGCUUUCAGGACUCACUUCAUUAAACUUGGUUUGAGGUGGGAAGAAGUCCAUGAUUGUGAACUCUAAACUGGGUUGGGCCUGUUUGAACUUUCCUCAAUGGGGUAUUCUUCUGGGAUCAAACCAAUCCUUUUCCAAGGAUAGCUCAUUAACAACAAUUGUGAGUGUACCGUAUAUCUGCAUGCCAUAUGUGUCCAUAAUCUGGCCGUUUGUCUAAUCG